rnacentral:SRP_RNA from 3 species
CGAGAGAGUCGGGCGGCGGUGGCGCCGCCAACCCCGCCAGGUUCGAAAGAAAGCAACGGUAACGGUUGUUCGCCGGGUGUCCGACUCUCAAAAAG